GGGAAGGGAUAAGAAAAGGCGUAAGUUUAUUAGGCUCUGUUUACAUAGAGAGGGCGUAGCCCUAGAACUCUUCGGAGUUAGUUAUCGAGUCUGUAAGAUCCGAUUGGAUCAUCUUCUUCGUAUCAAUUUCAAUUCCAAUUCAUAUUGCCAUUAAUCAGAAUCGGAUCUUAUCAUUGGUCCGACCUGCAUCAUCUCUGCUCUCCAUCGAAUUCCAGUUUCUGCUAAAUCAGAUCUGGUCCCCAUCUGAUAUAAAUCCCAUUUCUAAAACCAAUUCCUCAUUUGUUUCUGUUCCUACAAUGUGCGAUUCAAUCGUGGUGACUCGGUCAUCCCUAUUGGAUACUCAUGCACAGCAAAUUAAGCAAUUGCAAUAUGAUGUUACAGCGAUAUGAUAUGUUCUUUACUUUGGCCUGGAAGAAGCAUGCACGUGUGUCUCUGCAUGUUACUUUUCUAUAUAUUAAUUCAUGUUACUUUAGUUAUUUUCUAGUUAUUUGUUAGGUGCAUUUUAGUGGGUCAAAUAAUGGGAUAAUGGGCAGUUACCAUACUCCACAUUUCCUACGUAUUUUAGGGUUCAAGUUAGUGGUAGUUGGUUAUUUUAUUUUCUUUGUUUGUAAGGCUAUUUAUAGCCGUAUGUUCUUUGUUGGAAGAUAUGAAUGAAAAAUGAUAAGUUGAAUCUAUUCCAAAAGUCUAUCAAUUCUCUCAAGCUUCUACCUUUUUUUUCUUGGAUCAAUUGGUUAACGAUUAGGUUCGUAACACGAUAAAGGAUUCUCUUAAAGCACUGCAUGAUGAUCGGUCUGAUUCUAGAGAAUUCCAGAAGUUCGUUCUCAAUUGGAUGCACCAUCAGGAUUCGCGGUCUAAUUCCAUGUCGAUUUCACAUGUUCCAGCAUCAUCUUCGGAUUCUAUUUCUCCACCUCCAUCUCUAAUAGAGCAAUUGGAGGCAAUCGUCUCCAGAUCUGAAGAACGUUGCGUGGCCAUAGGGUUUCAUGUUUUUAAGGUUUGAAUUCUACAUCGCCAACUCCAACUGCUCAAGCUCCUUCUUCCCUUGUAUAAUUUGCGGAAGUUGAAUCACAAUUUGACUGCAAUUCGAUUGACCACGGAAGUUUGAUUGAACGUGCGGUGGAUCGCUCUUCGGAUUCUCAGUUGCGAUCGCUGUCUCCUGUGGCUCGAUUGAUUACGAUCAUCUCCAGAUCUGAAGAACAGUCGUCUGGUCAGGGACAUUUGAUGUCGACUAGGGCUAAAUGGGCUAUAUCUGAUGAUCUACACUGGAAGUUGGGCUCAGAACUAGUGGUGGGCCACAAUGUGGAGCUGAAUACAGUUGUGGAUUUGGAUUAUCCAGAUCCGGGCCAAGAUGUGGAGCAAAAAAUGGUUGUGGGCUUUUUUUCCGAUUUGGACUUGUGUGAGAAGGGAAAAGCACCAUUUGACAUGGGAAAGAGUUCAUUGUCUCAUCGUCCUCUCAGUGGAACGCGAUUGACGUUUUCGGUUACAUGGCAUUUAUGGGUUGUGCAUGGGUAGCCUCGGCCACCAGAAGACGCAUCGAAGGAGGCCUCUACUGGGAUCCCGGGACAGGCUUCUGAUCACAGUCUUGCGGACAAGACUUUUUGAAGGGGGAAGUAAUGAUAGGAAUCAUAUUCUAGUUUAGCUUUUAAGUGUCAUUUAUCUAUUCUAGGAGGGGGGUAAGUGCAAAUAAUAUAGCAUAAGUAUGAGUCAGUAAUCACUUGGGGAAGGGGAUAAGAAAAGGCGUAAGUUUGUUAGGCUUUGUUUACAGAGAGAGGCCUAGCCCUGGAACUCUUCGGAGUUAGUUAUCGAGUCUGUAAGAUCCGAUUGGAUCAUCUUCUUCGUAUCAAUUUCAUUUUCAAUUCCAAUU